rnacentral:rRNA from 1 species
GUCCACCUACGGGGCGCAGCAGUGGGGGAUAUUGCACAAUGGGGGAAACCCUGAUGCAGCGGCGCCGCGUGGGUGAAGAAGCGCCUCGGCGCGUAAAGCCCUGUCAGCAGGGAAGAAAAUGACGGUACCUGAAGAAGAAGCCCCGGCUAACUACGUGCCAGCAGCCGCGGUAAUACGUAGGGGGCAAGCGUUAUCCGGAUUUACUGGGUGUAAAGGGGGCGCAGACGGCGAUGGAAGCCAGGAGU